rnacentral:rRNA from 1 species
UACGCAGGGUGCGAGCGUUAAUCGGAAUUACUGGGCGUAAAGCGUGCGCAGGCGGUUCGUUGUGUCGGCGGUGAAAGCCCCGGGCUCAACCUGGGAAUGGCCGUUGAAACUGGCGAACUGGAGUGUGGCAGAGGGGGGUGGAAUUCCGCGUGUAGCAGUGAAAUGCGUAGAGAUGUGGAGGAACACCGAUGGCGAAGGCAGCCCCCUGGGAUGAUACUGACGCUCAUGCACGAAAGCGUGGGGAGCAAACAGG